ACUUUCAACAACGGAUCUCUUGACUCUCACAUUGAUAAAAAAUGUAGCGAAAUGCGACAUGUAAUGUGAAUUGCAGAAUUCCAUAAAUCAUCGAAUCUUUGAACACAAAUUAUACUUUUCAGCAACCUGGAAAGUUUGCUUGGUUAAGGGUCAUUAAAGUAACAUUUGUGAAUUUUUUUGCGAAUUUGAGUUUUCCAAUAUUUAUUAUAAAUAAAUGUUAGUAACUUUAAAAUUAUUUAUUACUUGGUACAAGUUGAAAACAUACUAUAUGUGUGGUUUGCUGACAAUUUGUCCAUCUUAUAUAUAUUAUAUGCAUACUUGACUUUUUAAAGUUUUGUGUAAAUAUAUAUAUUUUUUAUGACCCUAGCUCAAGCAAGAAUACCUGUUAAACUUAAGCAUAUCAAUAAACGGAGGAAAAGAAACUAAUAGGCAUUCUCCUAGUAAAAGCUCAGAUUUUAAAUCUACCCAGUUUCUAGAUCAAAUUAUAAUUUGAAGAAACAAUAUCAAUGUUAAGGUCUGGUUCAAGUUUUUUAGAACAAGACAUCAUGGAGGAUGAGAAUCUUGUGCAUGAUCAAACCAAAAUACUUAAUAUUCAUUUUUUAAGAGUCGAGUUGUUUGAAAUAUAGCUCAAAUUAGGUGAUAGACUUCACUUAAGGCUAAAUAUCAAAAAGAGACUGAUAAUAAACAAGUACUGUGAAGGAAAGAUAAAAAGCACUUUAAAAAGAGAGUUAAAUAGUAUGUGGAAUUGUUAAAAAGGAAACAAUUGAAGUCAGUUAUGCUAGUGAAAAAUCAGCUUGACAGAUUUUGGGUUUAGGAGUAAAGGUAAGGUUAAAUCACCUUUCUUUCAAACUUGGGAUUUGUUAGAUGUACUUUUUUUUUGACCGGUUAGUGUCAAUUUCAGGAGUUGUAAAAUACCUAGGUGAAAAUAGGGAGAGUGUUAUAGACUGUGGGAGAUGUAACCUGUGAGACCAAGGAUUGCAGCAAAUGCCUUUGACUUGUUGCCUGAUCUUUGGUAUUAUCUCGUUUAUAAUAACAUUUUUAUUAUUGAUGAGUACUAAUGGUGGCUAUUAAAUUAAAAUGAUUAAAAAUUUGCUUUGGAUGCAGACGUAAUGACUUUAAACGACCUGUUUUAAAACACAGAUCAAGAAGUCUAACAUAUGUGCAAGUGUUUGGAUGACAAAUUUGGAACACGUAAUGAAAGUGAAUAUAUGUGAAUCCUUCUCGUGGGAAGCACUAUUAACCGAUUAAGAUAUUUUUUAAAUUUGAGUAAAAGCACAUCCGUUGGAACCUGAAAGAUGGUGAAUUAUACUUGAAUAGGGUAAAGCCAAUUCUUGCAGUGAUUCUGAUGUACAAAUCGAUUGUUGAAUUUUGAUAUAAGGCAAAAGACUAAUUGAACCAUCUAAUAACUGGUUCUUGUCUCAGGAUAGCAGAAACUCCAAACAGUUUUAUGGGUAAAGUGAAUGAUUAAAGGCCUUGAGAUUGAAAUAGCCUUAACUUAUUCUCAAAUUUUAAAUAUGUAAGAAGCUUCAGGUUACUUAAAUAAACCUGAGCAAUCAAAUGAGAGUUUCUAAAGGGCCAUUUUUGGUAAACAGAACUGGUAAUGUGGAUAAACUGAAUAUGAGGUUAAGGUACCAGAAUUCACACCCAUUUCGAUACUACAAAAGGUUUAUCUAGAUAGCAAUGGAAGUCAGAAUCCAUUAAGGAGUGUGUAACAAUGCACCUGCUGAAUGAACUAGCCCUGAAAAUAAUUAGCGCCAAGCGUAAUACUUAUACUUCACCGUCAGGAUUGUAGUGAAGCUCUGAUGAGUAGAUAGAUGUAAGAGUCAUGUGGUUAUAGGUGUGAGCCCUGAUGAAACCACUUUUAGUACAGAUCUUAGUGAUAGUAACAAAUAUUCAAAUGAGAACUUUGAAGACUAAAGUGAGGAAAAAUUCCAUGUGAACAGUAUUUAGACAUAGGUUAGUUAAUCCUAAGAGAUAGAGAAGUUCCAUCAAAAAUGGACAUUUAUUUGUCCUGUUUAUUAAAAGAAAAGUAAGUUAAUAUUUCUGCACCUAGACGCGGAUUAUCAAAGCAAUAAUGCAAUCAAACUCGAUGACAUCAGUGGGAACUUCAGGAAAAGUUCUCUUUCUUUUUAACCGUUAGUUGGACCUUGAAAUUUCAGAUUGACUGAAGAUAAGGUUUAACGAUGAGAUUAGCUUGACACUUAAGUCAAGUCUGAUACAUACUCAAUAAUUCUUGAAUAAAGGGAGAGAAUUAUUUUCAUGCUAGGUCAUACUCACAACCAGUAUUGUACAUUUUGUAUGUCCCUAGGUUUUUUUACUGUCCCAAUGUCCCAUGUCCCACUGUCCCUACCUUUAUUGGGCUUAUAAAGAUAUAUUAAAACUUUAUAAAUAUAUGUAAAAAUCAAUUCUAAAUAACUUUAAUUAAUAACUUAAACUAAGUUUUAUAUUUUAAUUUUUUAUAAUUUAAAAAAUUAUUUUUGUCCCAAAAUGUCCCAAGAUGUCUCAUGACAAUACUGCUCACAACUGUAGCAAGUCUCCAAUGUAAAUAGCAUCUAGUUAAUAGAACAAUAUUAGUAAGAGAAAUCAGCAAAUUAGAUCUGUAACUUCAGAAAAUAGAUUGGCUCUAAGGGUUGGGUAUAUUAGACCUUGAUUUGAAGGUGUGAAAGAUUAGUUCAACUGGUUUGGGUAAAACCAUAUUAGAAGUUUGGGUCACCCGUGCUGGAAGGUCUUGGCAAGAGGUUUGCCUCAUCCAGUACAUGCUUAACAAUUAGCUUAGAACUGGUAUGGACAAGGGAAUCUGGCUGUAAAAUUAGCUUAGAACUGGUAUAAACAAGGGAAUCUGACUGUCUAAUUAAAACAUAACAUUGCGAUAGCCAGAAACUGGUGUUGAUACAAUGUGAUUUCUACCCAGUACUCUAAAUAUCAAAGUGAAGAAAUUCAACCAAGCACGAGUAAAUGGCAGAAGUAACUAUGACUCUUUUAAGGUAGCCAAAUACCUUGUUAUCUAAUUAGUAAUGUGCAUAAAUAGAUUAAUAAGAUUCUUACUGUUCUUACCUACCAUCUAGCGAAACCACAGCCAAGGAAACAGGCUUGGCUAAUCAAUAAGGAAAGAAGACUCUGUUGAACUUGACUCCAGUUUGACAUUGUGAAAAGACAUAAGAGAUGUAGGAUAAGUGGAAGAGUUUCAGCCCAAUAGUGAAAUACCACUACCUUUAUCAUUUUUUUACUUAUUCAAUUGAGUGGAUCUGGGUUUCAUUACUUACCUUUUAGAAUUAAGUCACCUCAGCAGCUGAUCCAUAUUGAAGACAAGGUGGUACAUCUGUUAAAAAAUAAUACAGAUGUUCUAUUGAAAACAGAAAUCUCAUAUAGAACAAAAAGAUAAAUGCCCCUUUGAUUUUGAUUUUCAGUGUGAAUACAAACCAUGAAAGUGUGACCUAUCGAUCCUUUAGAUCUUCAAAGUAUAAGGCUAGAGGUGUUAGAAAAGUUACCACAAGGAUAACUGGCUUGUGGCAGCCAAGUAUUCAUAGUGAUGUCUUUUUGAUUCUUCAAUGUUAGCUUUUUUUAUCAUACUGAAGCAGAAUUCAGUAAGCAUUGAAUUGUUUACCCACUAAUAAGGAACAUGAGCUGGGUUUAGACUGUCGUGAGACAGGUUAGUUUUACCUUACUGAUAAAGUAUUGUCACAAUAGCAAUUUAACUUAGUACAAGAGGAACCAUUGAUUCAAUUAAUUGGUAUUUGCUCCUAUCUGAAAGGGUAAUAGCACAAAGUUACCAAUCACUGAAUUAUAGCUGAACACCUCUAAGUCAGAAUCCAUACUAGAACGUAAUAAUAAUUACUUGUAUAAUCCAGU
rnacentral:rRNA from 1 species